GGCCAGAGCAGGGAUGAGGAGAAUGGCGAGGAUCUUUGAGGCGGCCUAAUGCCGCCCACUGGGGUGUUCUCCUUAGACCUUGGCUCUGCAACUCUCUUUAAGAGAAGGAGAAGACACCUCUGCAGCGCUCUGUUCCUGAAGCCCAGAGAUGUUUGGGGUACAAGGAUUACUGUUUGGUCUACAGAAACCAAGAUGGACCAAAGUGAUAAGGUCCAUCAGCAACAGACUGGAGUCUCUGAAACCGUUAGCCAAGAGGGACCCUUUCUCUGUGUGAUUGAGGACGAGCUGCAUUGAAGACCACGACCCAGCGUAGACCAAGUGUUGCCUUGUAGUCUGUUGUAGGACAGAGAUGUUCAGGCCACAGGCUCUUAAUUCUCCCCACAGUGUGGGAAGCAUCAAGACCAUCUCUGGGAUCCGAGACAUUUUGUGGUAACGCUUCAGGUCCUGACACCUUUUAUGUACUUUGUAGAUCCACCCUCAAUGAGCUGAGAAAAUUGCAGAAUAACUUUC